rnacentral:rRNA from 1 species
GCUUGUCUCAAAGAUUAAGCCAUGCAUGUCUAAGUAUAAACAAAUCUAUACGUGAAACUGCGAAUGGCUCAUUAUAUCAGUUAUAGUUUAUUUGAUGGUACCUACUACUCGGAUAACCGUAGUAAUUCUAGAGCUAAUACGUGCGCACAACCCGACUUCUGGAAGGGUCGUAUUUAUUAGAUGGAAACCAAUGCGGGGCAACCCGGAUUAUGGUGAUUCAUAAUAACUUUCAGAUCGAUCGCAAGAUCGAUGCAUCAUUCAAGUUUCUGCCCUAUCAGCUUUGGAUGGUAGGGUAUUGGCCUACCAUGGCUUUAACGGGUAACGGAGAAUUAGGGUUCGAUUCCGGAGAGGGAGCCUGAGAAACGGCUACCACAUCCAAGGAAGGCAGCAGG